rfam:Mycobacterium sp. 1245111.1 contig_1, whole genome shotgun sequence.
ACGGUUCCGGUUCACGUCCGAUCUUCUCAGCACGAUCUGGCGACCCGGCGGCC